UAUCUUGUUGAUAUAACUGUAUGUGUACCAUUGUAUCUAUUUGAUUGAGGUAUUCAGUUUAGAGUUUAACUAUGGUUGAACUGAUGUCUCUGCAAUUUUUCUGUGAUUGUCUUGUGACUGUUGUUUGACAAGUUUUAUAUUCAGUGCCAGUUGCACACUUGUGAAUUCUCUGGAAUGCUGAUGUAUGUAUGUACAUUCUAGGCUGGGAUCUUGGUAAGAAAUCCUCUAGUUAAUAACUGUACUUGCAUGUCAGAUUACUAAAUUAUGUACGAUUAUUGCAUCUUUCAUGAACGCUGUUGAAAGAUGACUGGUUCUGUGUCCAGAACUAAUAUAUAUGACAUGUUCUAUAUCCGAUGGCUUAAUAAAGAUAUAAAUUUGGGACACAGGGUUUCUUUUGUUAUUGCUGUUGCAAGUGGGAUGAUGUAUGACUGUGAUGUGUAUGAAAUCUGUGGGUAGUUAAGUUUUAUAAUAUAACUGACUCAUUUACAAUACAUAUGUUUUAUCUGGGGGUCAUAUCACCAAAUGUGGAUUCUUGGAACAAAUAAAUUGAUUCAUUGAUAUUAUGUUUACGAACAUCCAGAUGUUGACCAAAAUGAUAUUUGUACAAUAUGAAAUACUUAUAAUUCUUACACGUUACGCAUACGUACAUUUAUUUUCCUUAACUGAAAUGACGGCUAUUUUCGUCUUCUUAAUCCACCACUUUCAAAUGGAUGCCAAACGGCUAGUUCCUCUAAUGACCGCUGAUGUGAAAGCAAUCGUCUAAUUUCCCUCUUAGCAUAAGAAAUAUCUAACUUCUAAAAAUCAGUUUUUAUUGUAAACAACCCAGAUAAUAACAAGCAGAUACAAAAUAAUUAGUUUUGAUCAACUUUUAUGUGAAAAUGGGAAUGCAGAGACAGUGAUGCCAACUAUUUCGGAACACGAAGGGCAGGAUGUGUCGCUAUUUCCUGAAUUAAAUUUGGCUAAGUAUAUAGCAAGAACGGCAAGAAUUGAUUUGAAGGAUAUCCUGCAGAAGACACAACGCCUGUAUCCAUCAAGAAAGAAAAGAACAAGAAAGCAAGAGCCAUCAUUUGUCUGACAUUGGAGCCCCAAGUUAAACCUUAUGUCGUCCAGACAACAACAGCAAAGGAAGCCUGGGACGCGUUGGAAAGAACAUUCAAAGAUCAGGGAGUCAAUAGUUGGAUAAGUAUUUUAACUGAGUUGUGCUCUUUGAAACUUGAGGACUAUAAAAGCAUGCAGGAAUAUAUUAAUGCCUUCAUGUCAAUAAAUCUCAGACUAGUCUCAAUGUACAAAAAAAUAGAUGAUGAGCUAUUAGCAGCAUUAAUGUUAAAGGGUUUAACUAAAGAAUAUUAUCCCAUGCGUAUGGCGCUUGAAAACUCCAACGUAACUCUGACUAGUGAGCUCAAUAAAUCUAAGCUAUUGCAAGACACUGAAUUUGGUAAAAAUGCAGAUUCAGCCUUUCUGUCCAAAGAUAAGAUUAAAUGUAAACCAGCAAAAUGUCAAAUUUGUGGUAAGCUAGGCCACAUAAACAAAAACUGUUGGUUCAAAGAUAAGGAUAAGGCGAACAAUAAGAAUCAUAACAAUCAGCAUAGGCAAAAAUUUAAGAGCAAUCAGUCUUCUAAAGCAAUUAAUAGUACUGAUGAAAAUAAAGAAUGAUCCGAUCAUAGGUGUAAUGAAAAUAAAUGGAAAAAUAAGACCAGUAAAAUAUCCAUGUAUAUGGUGUCUGCCCAUCAUGUUAAAGUUAAAGAGAACACUUGGGUAAUAGACUCUGGUGCUUCACACCAUAUGACCGGAAAUAAGACUAUUUUGCAAAAUUAUAAAACACAUGAUUCUAAGGAACAUGAAGUAACCCUUGCUGAUGAUAACAUGUUAACCAGUGCAGGUUUUGGUGAUGUAAAACUUAUGAAUGACAAUUAUAGCCAUAUCUCAGAUGUAUUGCAUGUACCGGGAUUGUCUACAAAUUUGUUGUCUGUAAACUCAAUUGUAAAUAAGGGUACAAUUGUGUUAUUCACCAAGGACUGUUGCAAGUUAUAUGAUUCUGAUGAUUUUCAGGUAAGAGGCAAAGUUCUUGCCAAAGCAUAUCCCGAAAAUGGGAUUUAUUGUUUAAAUACCAAAGCUAACAUGACCCAAUCUGCAAAUAUAGCAACUAAAGAUAAGAUUAAUACCAAAAAGAAAAAUCACAAAUGUGAAAAAUCUUGUAUUGAUACUGUAAAGAAUGAACAAGUUGCAAGUACCCAGCAAGUUGAUGAAUAACUGUUGUGGCAUAGGUGUUUGGGGCAUUUAAAUAGGGUUAGCACGCGGUUGCUAAAAAAGGGUUUAGCUAAUGGCAUUGAUUUUCAAGAACAAGAAGAUCAGUCAAAGAAAUGUGUUCCAUGUCUGGAAGGCAAAAUGACAAAGAAGCCUUUCCUACAAUCAAAGAACAAACGGUCAAAAAGAAUACUCGAUCUAUUGCAUUUAGAUCUGGUUGGGCCAUUUGAAGUACCCUCUUAUGGGAAUGCUAAAUAUUUUUUGACUAUUGUGGAUGAUCAUAGUAGAAAAAUCAUCGUUUUUGGAGACAGAAACUGAAUUGACAAUAAAAGCUAUUCGUUCCGAUAAUGGUGGUGAAUUUUGCAGAAAAUUAUUCAAUGACAUGUUAAAACGAAAGGGAAUUCUCUGUGCCACAUAAUCCACAACAAAAUGGAACUGCUAAAAGAGCUAAUCGCAGCAUUUUGGAAAAAACAAGAUGUAUGUUGUAUGAUUCCAGCUGCAACAAAAGAUACUGUGCUGAAGCAGCACAGUAUUGUAGAAGACUACAAUAUUUGUAAAUGGUUGUGUGUGUUAAAAAUGUAGGAUUUGUUUGGAGCACCACUUAAUAAGUCAGUGAAACUUCUAGUGUUUUGGCUAGUCUUCGAUGUGGAAAGUGUCUGUCCUCAUUUCCAAAAUUUUGAAGGAAAGAUUUCGUCCACAAGAUUCUAACUGUCUGAUAUGAGCAGACUGGUAGGUUACAAUGCUUGGCAACUUCCAGUUACAAACAGAUAGCUAGCAACUGUCAGCCCUCAGAGACUCGGCUGCAACUUCACACCUCAGGCUCAUUAAUUUUCUGCUGGCAUGCCUUGCAAAACUUUGUUGCAUUACAGAUGGAAUACUUUACAGUUUAAAAUGGUGCCCCAAUGCAGCAGGAUGCUGAAAUAUAAUAGAACACUACAUGUUACUGUUUGACCCUGGUUUAUGGACAAGAUUCCUUGUAAUAGGGUUUGAAAAUGAUGAUGAUUUGUACUUCUAGAAAUUCAGCUGCUGCAGAAGGAUCAAUGGAUUAUAUCGUGACAGGUGCCGUAGAUGGUUUAGUGAAGGUCUGGACAUUCAAGAAUGAUUGUCUAGAGCUAAAACACAAGCUUGAGGGUCAUUCACUUGGAGUUGUCUCAGUUGCAAUAAAUUCAGACAGUACAAAGACCCUUCUUUGUUCUGUACUUCAGGGAGUGGAUGAGAGGCUUCAGUAACCUGCUGAAGGAGGACCUAUCCUCCCUGUUUAUUCACAGUUCCUUUUUGUCUCAUGACAGAAUACAAUAUUGUAAUGUGACGGCUGAAAGCCAGAAUAGUGGAGCCAGAGUGGACAUCCUUUACUGAGCAAUGGACCAGAAAUCACGUUCCUGUUACGUGUAGCAGUGAAGCAGUCAUUGCCUAGGUAACAAGUUGCUAAACACAAGAUUCCCAUGACAACCAGGAGGACAACAGAGGAACCAUUCAACGUUGUGUCUUCUAUGCAGGCUGUGAGGCAUAAAUAAAAGGCAGUGUGUUCAUGAGUUCAAGUAAUAGAUCAGAGGAGUAGAGAUUAGAGAUUCAUGAGAGUAGAGACCAGUCCAAGAUUUGGGCAGCAGCAAGAGAUUCGCAAGAUAGAGCCCAGUGUUUGAGCUGUUAUAAUCAGCUGUAAUUGUAAACAAGUACAAAUAAACCCAAUCAUCAAAUCCA